rnacentral:rRNA from 1 species
GCUAAGUAAGGGCGUAUGGGGAAUGCCUAGGCUCUCAGAGGCGAUGAAGGACGUGAUAAGCUGCGAAAAGCUGCGGGGAUCGGCACACACGAUAUGAUCCGCAGGUAUCCGAAUGGGGCAACCCGUUAUAUUGAAGGUAUAACAUCCGCAAGGAGGCAAACCCGGGGAACUGAAACAUCUAAGUACCCGGAGGAGGAGAAAACAAAAGUGAUUCCGAUAGUAGCGGCGAGCGAACUUGGAUUAGCCCAAACCAAUAUUGUUACGGCAAUAUUGGGGUUGUAGGACUACGAUAUUCUGUGCUUUAUGAAUUAGAACGCUUUGGAAAGAGCGGCCAUAGACGGUGAUAGCCCGGUAUAAGUAAAGACAGUUACAGAUAGUAGUAUCCUGAGUAGUGCGGGGCACGUGAAACCCUGUAUGAAUUUGGCGGGACCAUCCGUUAAGGCUAAAUACUCCUGAGAGACCGAUAGUGAACCAGUACCGUGAGGGAAAGGUGAAAAGAACCGUGAAUAACGGAGUGAAAUAGAUCCUGAAACCAUACGCUUACAAGCGGUCGGAGCCCAUAUGGGUGACGGCGUGCCUUUUGCAUAAUGAGCCUACGAGUUACUUUUACUGGCAAGGUUAAGUUCUUCAGGAACGGAGCCGUAGCGAAAGCGAGUCUUAAUAGGGCGCCAUAGUCAGUAGUAGUAGACGCGAAACCGUGCGAUCUACCCAUGGGCAGGUUGAAGCUGUGGUAACA